rnacentral:rRNA from 1 species
GACGUGGGGGGCCAGCGUUGCUCGGAAUUACUGGGCGUAAAGGGUCCGUAGGCGGUGUAGCAAGUCGAUAGUGAAAUCUCUGGGCUUAACCCAGAGGCUGCUAACGAAACUGCUGUGCUAGAGUGUGAGAGAGGCGAGUGGAAUUACGGGUGUAGCGGUGAAAUGCGUAGAUAUCCGUAGGAACAUCCGAGGCGAAGGCGGCGCACUGGACCACAUCUGACGCUGAGGCGCGAAAGCUAGGGGAGCAAACAGG